GCUUGCUUGCGGGUGAGAGUGGCGAACGGGUGAGUAAUGCGUGACCAACCUGCCCCAUGCUCCGGAAUAGCUCCUGGAAACGGGUGGUAAUGCCGGAUGUGCCGGGCUCCUGCAUGGGGGUCCGGGAAAGCUCUGGCGGCGUGGGAUGGGGUCGCGUCCUAUCAGCUUGUUGGCGGGGUGAGGGCCCACCAAGGCUUCGACGGGUAGCCGGCCUGAGAGGGCGACCGGCCACAUUGGGACUGAGAUACGGCCCAGACUCCUACGGGAGGCAGCAGUGGGGAAUAUUGCACAAUGGGCGCAAGCCUGAUGCAGCGACGCCGCGUGCGGGAUGGAGGCCUUCGGGUUGUAAACCGCUUUUGUUUGGGAGCAAGCCCUUCGGGGUGAGUGUACCUUUCGAAUAAGCACCGGCUAACUACGUGCCAGCAGCCGCGGUAAUACGUAGGGUGCGAGCGUUAUCCGGAUUUAUUGGGCGUAAAGGGCUCGUAGGCGGUUCGUCGCGUCCGGUGUGAAAGUCCAUCGCCUAACGGUGGAUCUGCGCCGGGUACGGGCGGGCUGGAGUGCGGUAGGGGAGACUGGAAUUCCCGGUGUAACGGUGGAAUGUGU
rnacentral:rRNA from 1 species